rnacentral:rRNA from 1 species
UACGGAGGGUGCGAGCGUUAAUCGAAAUUACUGGGCGUAAAGGGUGCGUAGGUGGCGUAAUAAGUUACUUGUGAAAGUCCUGGGCUUAACCCAGGUUGGACGGGUGAUACUGUUAAGCUAGAGUAUAGGAGAGGGUAGAGGAAUUCCCGGUGUAGCGGUGAAAUGCGUAGAUAUCGGGAGGAACAUCUGUGGCGAAGGCGUCUACCUGGCCAGAUACUGACACUGAGGCACGAAAGCGUGGGGAGCAAACAGG